rnacentral:rRNA from 1 species
GGGUCCGGACACACUGAGGAUUGACAGGCAAUUAUUGUGCUUUGUAACUUUUUUUUAAGUUGCUUACACAACAACAAAUUAUGCUAGUCCUUUCAUGAUUAUGUGAUAGGUGGUGCAUGGCCGUUCUUAGUUAGUGGAGUGAUCUGUCUGCUUAAUUGCGUUUCAUCAGGGACCAUGUUUAUUUAUGUACUUUCUUACUCGCUUUUUAAGCACUUUUUGUGUUUUUUAAGCUUGUACUUUAGUGCAAUUGGUCCUGAAAGCAACGAACGUGACCGCAUCCUCUUGUUGCCUUUUUAACUUGAGUUGUUUACACUUCUCAUAACAUAAGAGGCUUUCCUAAAACUAGAGGGACCGCUGCGACUUUUUUAAACCAGAGGAAGGUUGCGGCAAUAACAGGUCUGUGAUGCCCUUAGAUGUUCCGGGCUGCACACGUGCUACAAUGAUUAUUGCAGUGAGCAUCUCAUUUUAUUUUUUGUGCUUGUCUUGUCUGACUCUUUUACGAGGGAAAGACGACAGCCUUAGCCUGCUUCGAAAGUUCGCAGGU